AGGAGAUGUUGGACAUCAUGAAGUCCAUCUAUGACAUGAUGGGGAAGUACACAUACCCCAAUAUGCAGGACGAUGCUCCAAGAGAACAUGUGGAGAGCUUCUUCCAGAAAAUGGACCGGAAUAAAGAUGGGGUGGUCACUAUAGAGGAGUUCAUCGAGUCAUGCAAAAAGGACGAGAACAUCAUGCAGUCCAUGCAGCUGUUUGACAACGUCAUCUAAGAAUCUGGACCAGAGAUGAUGCUGGCACCAGGGAGAGGUGUGUGUGUGUGUGUGU